UCCAAAUCCCUCUUUCGACCCCCAUUUUCUUCCUCUCCGUUCCCUCUUUUGAGCACCCUCUUCAUUACCGGUCGAGAUUGAGCUGUGAGUCUUUCGAGCGCCCUCUUCAUCGCCAGUCGCUGUGUAGAACCAUCUCAAAUAGGUUUGAGCUGCUUGAUGUUGAUUUCUGAUCUCUAGAGCUUGAAGUGGGGCUUACUGAUAAUGUCAUGCUGAAGUCAGACAGGCCCACAAAUCUAGGCACAAUUCCAGCUGAGACAUUGGCCACCUUCCCUAGGAAAUCAGGCAGCUAUGCCACCUCUCCAUGCAUGUCAAUUGCACCAAAGGAUUGUAGAAAACACUGAAAAAAUGGCAUUCAUCAAGCUAGAGACUGCAUGCCAGUUGGCAUGUCCUGCUCUAAAGACCCUUUGAAUACGUACCAUUAAAAACUUCUUGGGGCCACCAGAACAUUUAUUUGCCAUGCGACCUGUUUAUAAAGUCACAAGGACUUGGAUGCGGGGACCACACAAAUAUUAGCUUGAUCCAAUAAUUUUGUGGCCCACAUGGAGUUUUUAAUAGUGUUUGGAUGAGAUCAUGCCCUAAAAUGAGCUGUCAAAACUGAUGGACCAUGAGGAUGUAAGGCACUUUCUCUCUUAAAUCCUCAAAAAUUGAAAAUUCCACUUCAAACCUUGUACAUGGUCAAAUUACCCUUUCCAGCCUCAAUCCUGAAUAAAAUGAGAAGAACUCUGAUACUCCUAUGGAUGUUUUUUAGGCCAUUAAAAUAAUGAAACAUAGGUGGUAUCAUCAAACUAAACACAUAUACAUGUAGAUCAAGCUAUCACCAUUCAUGUCAUUCCCCUCAAUAUCUUCCUAUGGAUGUUUCUUGCUUUACUUACCUUUUAUGUUGUUUUUAAUCUGCUAGAGAUAAUAAUACCUUGUUCUGGUUUUGUUAAAUUCUUUAUUAUAUGAUGAUUGCUGCAUAACACAUGUUUAUGUUGUGGAGGUAAGAUGAAUACCGGUAAGUAUAUUUGGUUAUUUUCAUUGUAUUAUGUUUAUGAGAAUGAAGGAAGAAAUUAGUUGUGGAGGUAGUAUGAAUACUGGUGAGAUGAUUGCUGCAUUACAUGUCCUUAUAAUACCUUUUAUUAUUAUGACUUGUUAGUUUAUAGUUGCGACUUAUGAUUGUGAUUUGUA